AUGUUUCUAUGAGCUGUUUUUGUCUUUCGGCAUUUCCUUUUUUUUUUUAACUGUCUCGUAGUACUGUAAUUGUUAUUUGUUGAACGGUGUCGCGGUCGCGAGAGUGAUUUUGAUGUGGCAGAGCCGGGAGUCGAGCGAGUUUGGACUUGCCGUCCAAGUGGAGAGGGUCCGCCUCGGCUCGCUAACUUUCACACUGUGAAAUUCAAUGGUUUUUGAGUAGGAAUGUGCGUGCUGGGUGUGAUUUGCGGCAUGAAGUUGAUGAGUUUGAGAUGUUGGUUUUAUUUCUGGAGACGUUUGCGUGAAAGUUAUCCAAUGAGAGUGGCUAAAGAUGUGAGAGAGCAAUGUGGGAUGAGUGUUCAGGAUUUGCUCGUCUUUCAUCGUUUAACCUGGAAGAGUUAUAUAACUUUGCAAGCAGUCUACAACAUUGUCCAUUCUGAUGCGAUUGGCACAUUAAUUUUCAAAUCCACCACUUGAGCCAUGGAUUUAUUAAUACGAGGAAGGAUCGUGUUCAAAGGAUGUGAGCAAUGGCAGCACUAUUACCCUCUGUGAAUAAGAAGUUACUCCUGUCAUUGUGAGGCAACUUGUAGAUCUGUUGUAUUGAGAUUGAGUAGAAUUGCGGGUUUGUUAUUGCCUGUAAUGUUUUUCAAUGUGGACUAACUCUGUCGUUUUGUGCGCAUGUCUCAGUUUUGCCUAGAAUAUGAUCUUACGCUUGGCAUGUAAUUUGAUAAUCCUCUGAGUGCUCUGAGGUUGCCGUUUGGAAACAUUCAAGACACAAUAAUUUUCAUUGUGGGAACCAAAGUGGUUUUCAAUUCAUCCUAUUCAAUUCUGGUUUCUUUGAUCGAGCAUUUGAGGAUACGAAGCAGAGACAUUGCCAUAGUGUACAUGGAGACCGAAUGACUGAUCUGCAUUUUAUGUCUGGCGGGGCUGGCUGAGUUGGGUGAGUCUUGACUGAAUU